CCUACGGGGGGGCCGCAGUGGGGAAUAUUGGGCAAUGGGCGCAAGCCUGACCCAGCAACGCCGCGUGAAGGAAGAAGGCUUUCGGGUUGUAAACUUCUUUGACAGGGGACGAAAAAAUGACGGUACCCUGAAAACAAGCCACGGCUAACUACGUGCCAGCAGCCGCGGUAAUACGUAGGUGGCAAGCGUUGUCCGGAUUUACUGGGUGUAAAGGGCGUGUAGGCGGGAUUGCAAGUCAGAUGUGAAAUCUCUCAGCUUAACUGAGAGCGUGCAUUUGAAACUGCAGUUCUUGAGUGAUGGAGAGGCAGGCGGAAUUCCUCGUGUAGCGGUGAAAUGCGUAGAUAUGAGGAGGAACACCAGUGGCGAAGGCGGCCUGCUGGACAUUAACUGACGCUGAGGCGCGAAAGCGUGGGGAGCAAACA
rnacentral:rRNA from 1 species